UACGGGGGGGGCAAGCGUUGUUCGGAAUUACUGGGACGUAAAGGGCUCGUAGGUGGCCAACUAAGUCAGACGUGAAAUCCCCAGGCUCAACUUGGGAACUGCGUCUGAUACUGGAUGGCUUGAGAUUGGGAGAGGGAUGCGGAAUUCCAGGUGUAGCGGUGAAAUGCGUAGAUAUCUGGAGGAACACCGGUGGCGAAGGCGGCAUCCUGGACCGGCAUUGACGCUGAGGCGCGAAAGCUAGGGGAGCAAAGC
rnacentral:rRNA from 1 species